rnacentral:rRNA from 1 species
CCUACGGGGGGCAGCAGUGGGGAAUAUUGGACAAUGGGCGCAAGCCUGAUCCAGCCAUACCGCGUGGGUGAAGAAGGCCUUCGGGUUGUAAAGCCCUUUUGUUGGGAAAGAAAUCCAUCUGGUUAAUACCCGGGUGGGAUGACGGUACCCAAAGAAUAAGCACCGGCUAACUUCGUGCCAGCAGCCGCGGUAAUACGAAGGGUGCAAGCGUUACUCGGAAUUACUGGGCGUAAAGCGUGCGUAGGUGGUCGUUUAAGUCCGUUGUGAAAGCCCUGGGCUCAACCUGGGAACUGCAGUGGAUACUGGGCGACUAGAAUGUGGUAGAGGGUAGCGGAAUUCCUGGUGUAGCAGUGAAAUGCGUAGAGAUCAGGAGGAACAUCCAUGGCGAAGGCAGCUACCUGGACCAACAUGACACUG